GCCUUUUUUUUUUUUUUUUUUUAAAUUUUAUUUAUUUAUGAUAGUCACAUAGAGAGAGAGAGAGAGAGAGAGAGAGAGAGAGAGAGAGGCAGAGACAUAGGCAGAGGGAGAAGCAGGCUCCAUGCACCGGGAGCCUGACGUGGGAUUCGAUCCGGGGUCUCCAGGAUCGCGCCCUGGGCCAAAGGCAGGCGCCAAACCGCUGCGCCACCCAGGGAUCCCGACAUGAUGCCUUUGAUGUCCCCUCACGGCCAGACCCCGAGGGGCAGCAAAGGGCCCGCGUCGAGCAGAAGUGAGCCCGACGGGGUGUCCACCAGCCCUGGGCGGGGGGUCCCCACGCUGGGACCACGGAGGGGGUGGGAGCGAUCUGCCCCCCACAAUCACGGCCGGCUUCUCCCCUGCUGACACGGCUGAGAUUUCGUUCCCUUUCUCUCCUGUCCCAUCAUAACUUCGCCCUCCUGGGUUUCCUUCCCAGGCCAGGAGGUAGGCCGGGCAGACAGGGCAGGGGUCUCUACCUUGCUGUGCAUCACGAACCCCCAGGGGCUUCGGGGAGCUGGGACUCUAGGCCUCGCCCUGGGCUUUGGAUUCGGAACCACCUCGAAGGCCCUGGGCGCCAGCAGGUGCCUCCCCUGGGGAAGGUGUGGGUGCGGCGGCGGCGGGACAGCCGGGCUGGGCGCAGAGGAGGAUUAGCUGGCCUCAGCGUCUGACAACAGGGCAGAGCAGCCCUGGAGAAAGAGCGGAACCCAGUUAAACCACUGAUUCACGGCAUCCACGUCCACGCCCACCCUGCACUUCCCGUUUCCUGGUGUGUGAGGUAAUACAUUUCCUUUUUUCUUUUAAAGCCAGUUUGAGUCAGAGUUUCUGUUUCUUGUAGCUGAAAGCACCACCUAUUUCCUUUCAUGGCUAAAAUCCACUUACCCGUCCUCCUGGAACCGUAAAAUCAAGUACACAACAGCCAGGUGGGGCCUUGGGGGGUCAACCGCUCAACCUUGCCCUGACCUUCACCGCGGCGGGAGCCCAGAGGAGGGGCUCAUCUCCUGGCUCUGCGUCACCCGUGGACAGAAAACCAAAGGACUCUGCUUAGACUGCAGUGUCUCUGUUUGAAAUGUCUUUCCUAAGAACUAUUAGCACAUCAAAAUGAUAGUUCUUAGGCCUAUGAAAAUAUCCCAUGUAUGAUCUUAUCUCCGUGGAGUUGAGAUGACGAUUUGGGAACAGCAGCAGGUGCAUCACACCUCAUCAAACCCCCCGGCUGGGGUAAGGAAACAGUCUAAGUGCUGUAAGUUUUCCAAAGGAGAAAAAAAUUGUGCGCCAGGAAAGGCAAGGUGAGCUCAUCCUAGGGUCUGCACACGGCACUGAACGCCCAGGUACAACCAGGCAGCCUGUAGGGGGUUUCACUCGAAGGAGGGAAGCUGUGAUCCUACAACCUCAAAGCCAGUUAAAGGUGAUUCCUGUGUAAAUACAGGCUUGUAUAAGUCUUAGUCUCCCCCUUUGGAUUCUUUCUAAAACUUAUGUUCUUGUACCUACAAUUCUUUUUUUUUUUUUAAGAAUUU
rnacentral:lncRNA from 1 species